CAUGCAAGUCGAACGAGGCUAUGCAGCGGAAGUUUCGGAUGGAAGCAGCAUAGACCGAGUGGCGGACGGGUGAGUAACGCGUGGGGAACCUGCCCAUUCCGGGGAUACCAGUUGGAACGACUGUUAAUACCGCAUAAGCGCACGGAAGGACAUCCUUCAGUGUGAAAAACUGAGGUGGAAAUGGGAUGGCCCCGCGUCUGAUUAGCCAGUUGGCAGGGUAACGGCCUACCCAAAGCGACGAUCAGUAGCCGGCCUGAGAGGGCGACCGGCCACAUUGGGACUGAGACACGGCCCAAACUCCUACGGGAGGCAGCAGUGGGGAAUAUUGGGCAAUGGGCGAAAGCCUGACCCAGCAACGCCGCGUGAAGGAAGAAGGUCUUCGGAUUGUAAACUUCUUUUAUGAGGGACGAAGGACGUGACGGUACCUCAUGAAUAAGCCACGGCUAACUACGUGCCAGCCGCGGC
rnacentral:rRNA from 1 species